CUUCAGGGUAAUUGAGAUAGCAGUCUAUUUUUUGGGCUCAUAUUCCAAAUUGGUAUUCAGGGGAGUUUUUAUGUAAUCUAGUUAAGAUAAAGCGCUCACAAUGGCAAGGUCACUCCGUCCAGAUCGAACUGCUUCAUUCGUUCACCCGCAUUUUAAUUAUUAUCGUAAAGAGCGGUCUCAGACAAGCAUGGCGUUGUACUGCGCUUCUUCUCGGGAGUUCAUUUCACGCGUGCCAUCACCCUCUGUUUUAUCUGUUUGAUCAAAAUCGACCAUGCAUGCUUGCACUUUGACACAAAUGAAUACGUGUGUCCCAGACCGCUGCCUCGAGCCUGGAUCGGAGACAUUCCCACAAUUCACUAGCCGGACUCCUAUGUCCACUUUAUCAACCGCAACAGGGUUCCUGUAAAGAAUUCCCAUCGCAUCGCGUCACACUUCGGCCAUUUCCUUUCGUCCGGAUCGUAGGAGUGUAUCGGAGGAGGCGAGCGAGCUAAUUAUCGUUUCCCAGAAUCCCUUGCUGUGAAAGCAUUUUGUAUUAUAAUGCUCGAGACGGAUUUUUUUUUGCAAAUAAAACGAACAAACAAAAAACACGGUUUCUUUUAAUCGCCUGCCAUUUUGUAGGAGCUUCUCCACUACAGCUUUGUGAAAUGGACUCGUGAACGACGGUGUGGACGUGGACGUGGACCUGGACGUGGACGUGGAAGGCUUCGGUGGUGCCUUUUGUGCAUUUCGUUCUCGUCCAUCUUUAUCCGGCAGGAAUAAACAAUUUGGUAUCUAAUGCUAAACUAACGAGCGACGGGCGAGUCAGGAAUCCUUUAUCUUCUUCAUGUUCGUCGUCUUCAUCAUCCGAGUAAAAAGAAGGGAUUCUAUUCACGUCGUUUUUUCCAACUCGGACCUUAUUCCGUGCUAUUUAACAACCCCGUGUAUGAGAACGAUGACGACCUUGUGGUGACCCUCGUCUCGGAUUUCUCGUCGGUUGAACAUGCAGUCCUGUUUACAACCUCAGCAUGAAAACAGAGGGUCUCGAACACUUCACACUGACUGCAAACCAACAUGUGUGUGUGUGUGUGUGUGUGUGUGUGUGUACAUACUUACUUAUGGGACAAAGACGUGUGCAUGACAUUCGGAUGUCAACAUCGUUGUACGAACUUUAAUGUUGGUUUCUUGGCUUCUUUACACGGUAUAACAUUUCACCCUGCGUUCACAUUAGCAAGCGACAAAGCGACAUCGUUUCCUUUAAGUUUAUUCUAAAAUUCAUCCGUUCAUUUAAGUAUUUACUACUAUUAAAUUCAUGCAAAUUAAAUACCUCGUGAAUACCCCAGGCCUGAGUUUAGGUUUUCAACAAAGAGCAGUGGAAGACAAAUUUAAAGGGAUAGUUCACCCAAAAAUGAGAGUUCUGUCGUCAGUUACUCGCCCUCGUACGUCUACGCAGAAGUGAAGAUAUUCUAUGCGAAUAAAGAUAUUUUAAUUUUAGUUGGGAUUUUUUUUUUUUUUUUUUUUUGUACACACGAAACAUUCGUAUCGCUUCAGAAAACUGGGAUUAAACCACCGGGGUCACGUGGAUUCCUUCUACGAUGCCUUUAUGAACUUUUUGGAGCUUGAAAGUUACAUGGAUCGUAAACAGAGGGACAGAAAACUCCCAGGUUUCAUUAAAAAACGUCUUCGUUUGCGUUUUCCGACGACGAACGAAAGUCUCACGGGUUUGGAACGACGUGAGGCGGAGUAACUGACGAUUUUGGGGUGAACUAUCCCUUUAAAUAUAACGAAUCUGUUUUAAACAAAUAGAUCAAACUGUUAAUAUAUAUUUUAAACACAUAAGUAAGAGGGUUAUUAGGGUCGUCGUAAUACAUUACAAUCAUCUUGGCUUUGAUAUCAAAACUGUAAUAGGAAAAACAUUUUUAGUAUUUUUUUAGUAAGUUUUUUUUUUUUUUCCUUAACAAAAAAAUUAAUAUAUUUGGUAUCAUUUUAGUCAAAGAUUUUCUACUAUUGCAGCGUUACAAUGUGACAAAAUUGUUUGUAGGUUGUUGUUUUUUUCUCCUCACAUGACAACAAAACUACUGUAGGAUUUUUAAUUUUUUCCUUUUUUGUUUUGUUGUAAAAACCUUCAGUAUUAGUUUUUGUUGUUGUGUUUUUUAAAUGUAGUUUUAAACAAUACCCGAUACCAAAACUAAACUAGGAAGUGUUUUAUAUGAAAAUAAAAGAAUUUAAAAGAAUAAUACGAUAAAAACGUAUGUAGGUUUUUUUUUGUCACAUGACACCAAAACUACACUAGGAUUUUUUUAUUUUAUUUAUUUAUUUAUUUUUGUAUUCUUGUUUUUCCUUUUUUUUUUUUUUUUUUUUUUAUUGUUGCUGCAAAAACUUUCGGUACGAUUUUUUUUUUUUUUUUUCCCUUUUUGGCCACAUUUUUGAUAUACACAAUUAACAAUACACGAUACCAAAAAUAAACUAGGAAAAAAUUAUAUUAAAAAUCAAAUCAAAUAAAAAGUAUUGUUUCGUUUUUUUUUGUUUUUUUUUUACCUAGUGUAAGAUUUUAUUAUUUAAUUUUUUUUUCACAUUGAAGUAAUAUUCAAACAAAUUAAUGAAUGAAGUAAUUUAUUAAAUAAAAUCUAUAAUUUGGGGGCGGGGUGUUUGUUUUUGAUCGAUCGCUUUAUUUAUUUUUUUGCUCAUGCUGAUCUUUUUCUCGGACCUCACACUCACUUAUACCACAUGUUCUCCUGUGACGAGCUAAACGCCUCUUUCUCGGCUCUCUUCGCCACCGGCUCUCUUUCAGUAGCAUCGAUUCAGGAUUUUACUUUCUGUCUCCGUUUCUUUGUCCGUCUUCUUCGAGUCGGAUCCGUUUUUAUUUGAACGCGACGUCACUCAUCUUUUAUAUAUGAAAUAAUAAAAUAUCAGCCUUAGAGUUAGUCUGUUCCAAUAAAGACGUACCGGUGUUUUGUUUUUGUUGUUUUUUUAAAGUUACACUAUUGAGAGUUUUGCCACAUUUGUGAUAGCAGCUCAAAUGAUGAAUUCUACAAUAAAUAAAUGAUAGAUUGUAAAUGACACUGUUUACAUUUUGGCUUCAUUUGUAAUCAGAGCUUAAUACUGUAAGACUGAGCAGGAGAUUUAUUUACUACUGUGCACAUGAGUGAUGACGGCAGUGUGUCAACCUUGUCGCUUGCUUGUAGGAACUCAGGGUCGUGUGUGUGUGUGUGUGUGUGUGUGCGUGUGGAAGUGUGUGCGAAUGUCUUUUGCUUACGCUGCCAUUUUUUUUUACCCUCGACACGAUCUUCGCUUGUCCUUUUCCAAGUCUGUCCUUUGUCAUUUCUGCCCACGCUUGACUCCUGAUCAUUCCUUUUCGAAAUGAACUCUGAAGUUUUUUUUUGCCGCCAACAUGUCUCUGUUUUCUAAUGCGAGCGCUGUCGGAAUCAGCGGUGGGAAAUAUACACUGCUCAAAAUGGAAACUGAGUAUCGAUGAGUCAUAAUGAAUUGCUACCAACGGAGUUUUAGAGAAAAGAGGGGGAACAGUAAAGGGGGGUGGAAGUAAAUGAGUAAAACGGAUCUUUUCUCCCCACGAAGGACUGAAAGAUCUGAUGUUAUUGGUUUGAAAAAAAAAAAAAAAAACCCAAAAAGAUUCGAUUAAAAGUCGUGAAGGUCCAGUUACGUGAAAUUUCCCUGCAUCCGACAGGAAUAAAUAACAACAAGCUUUUAAUUCUACACUAUUAACGCUCCACUCGUUGCUAUAAAUUCCACGCAUUAUUUUCACUUCACAACUUUUUUUUUUCUUAUUUUAUUUUAUUUUCUACUAGCGCUGUGUUUUCAAACUGAAGCUGAGAAUAAACACUUACGAAACACGUCCAGUCGUCUUUAAACGCGCUCGUUUAUCUUUUGGGGGGAAAGCCCUGUUGUCACUUCACUAAUCGCAGCUAGAGAAGGUAAAUAAAUCUAAGAACGUCUGUGAAAACACUUUGCAUUCUCGAGGGGAUGCCUUCAGCUAAAUGACUGACAUAAGUGCGUGUGAUUGGUCGGGACAGAGGAUCUGCUCCAGAAAAACAGGAAGCAAACAGGAAGUCCGUCGUCUUUACGCAAUUCUGAAACAUUCUCUUCUUAAACAUUUAGGGGUUUUUUUUUUUUUUUGAGUCCGUAGUAACAGCUCAUUCAAGUAGAACCCUUUCAGGAGCAUAAGAACACAUAGUCCUUUAAGUAGAACCCUUUUAGGAGCAUAAGAACCCUGAGCAGUCCAAGUAGAACCCUUUUAGGAGCAUAAGAACCCUUAGUCCUCAAAUUAGCACCCUUUUAGGAGCAUAAGAACACUUAGUUCAUCAAGUAGAACCCUUUUAGGAGCGUACGACCACCUAGAUCUCCAAGUAGAACCCUUUUAGGAGCAUAAAAACCCUUUGUCCUAUGAGUAGAACCAUUUUAUGAGCAUACGAACACUAGAUCUCCAAGUAGAACCCUUUUAGGAGCAUAAGAACACCUAGAUCUCCAAGUAGAACUCUUUUAGGAGCAUAAGAACCCUUAGGCCUCCAAGUAGAACCCUUUUAGGAGCAUAAGAACACUUAGAUCAUCAAGUAGAACCAUUUUAGGAGCAUACGACCACCUAGAUCUCCAAGUAGA
ensembl:lncRNA